AAAAGAUCAAUAAAAAAACCAUUUAUUACUGAAAAAAACUCAGCAAGCGAUUGUUUCUAAAUAGGCUGGCCAAUCUGCUACUGGUACCGGUUAGUGAGUCCACUGUGUGCAGCCAACCAGCAGGUGGUUGCUUCUGAACAGGCCGUCCAAACCGAUGCUGGCUUUGAAUAGUCGAAACAUUGGACACAUCCUUACUGAGUGUUGUGGCAUCAGCCAUCAUUGUAAUAUGGAAACAGUGGCAUAUCAAAUCCAUUUUAUUUUAUAUAUCAGGUCUCAUCACCGCCUCAGGAAAAAAGGGGGAAAAACAAAAAAAGAUCCAGAAAGAAAAAUGGAAGUAACCAGAAGAAAAGAUGAAAGUAAUCAGAGCAAACAAAAAGUAGUUAAUUACAAGAGUAAUGGAGGCUAGGAAAUAAAUUCACAUCAGUAAGGUCUAAUGAAAAAUGAAAUUACCAGAUUAAUAAUAAUACGAAGGAAUGUUCAGUAAAGUUUUGCAGAUUAUACAUGCUGGAAGAAGAAUUUUGAGAAAAUUAGGUAAAAAAAAAACGGAAAAGAAAAAGAGUGUAUCAGCAAAUCAAACUCUAAAUGAACAGCACAAAUGCCGGUGCAUAUAUAUAUAUAUAUAUAUAUAUAUAUAUAUAUAUAUAUAUGUGAUUGACACAUACAUACACAUACACAAAUGCAAAAGACAUAGCAGACACACUCACACACACACAUACACAUAUACACAGACAUAUAUACAUACACAUACAUACGUAUGUAGAUCAGCGGAUUAAAUUGUUAGAUAAUGUAAAUAUAUUAUGCUAAAUAAAUACCAGAGAUUAAGAACAAAGUCAAAUAAAAAAAG
rnacentral:lncRNA from 1 species